UAAAAGCAGUGGUUUGUUUGCUUGGUCCCAAGUUCGGCUGCCAUCCCUGAGACUGCGGCCCUCAUGCUACCUCUGGGAAGAGAAGACAGCUAGCGGGUGGAGGAAGAUCGACUCUUUGGGGAUUUCAUCACCCACUGGUCAUAUAGACUCAGGAUGCUCAUGGAGUGCCCCCAGAUUGGGUGUAGCAGUCACUGCGGCUUUGGCUAACCCACAGGUGUUCCCAAGUCCCUUUUGCUUUGCCACCUUCCUUGAUGUGAGCCGUAGACAAGUGGUCAGUGAUGGUCCUGACUAAUGAGAGGGACAUGGUGUCGCAGCAGCCAUCUUGCAGUCGUGAAGGACGGCCCAGGAGAGCUGCACACUUGGUGGCCCCAGCAUCGUUGAGCCACUGAACCAGUUCUGUGAGCCACUUCCUUCUAGAACUUCUUCCUGUGAGAGGAAAAAGAAAUACCCUCUUUGUUAAGCCACUGUAUGUUGAGUUUCUCAUUAUUUACAGCUUAAAGGAUUUCUAACCGAGUCACAGAGAAAACAACUCUAUUCUCCAGUCCGUCCUGGUGACUAUGUCAACGAUUCCUUGAAAUCCAGUGAGAAGUUGCUCCUGGACCACUCACUGGACGAAGGAACAACCAGGGCUGGGACCCUGGUUACCUCGAGUUCAAAAGCCAUGCAGCCGGUCCCUGUAAGGCCUGCGCAGGGAGCCGGGACUGCGUCCCUGCAACUCUGAACGCCUGCCCUCUCCUCCUCUUGCCACUUUCAAAAGGACACACCUUUUCUCAGGAAGCUCCUACUUUCUAGUCAGCUUCAAACCAUCGCCGCGACACGGACGCAGAAAGGGAGCUCUCUGAGUCAGACGUAGGGGAGAAAACGAAAGACAGAGCCAGUAGAAGUUAAUAUUUCAAUAAAUAGCUUGCCACACCUAGCAGUCGAGCAAAGUAGCCUCGGCGGGAGGAGACACUGAGCAUGAUGACAGCUGAGUAAUUAGGACAACUUUUGAGUCCUGUGCAAACUUGCGUGGAUGAAGUCAUUUGACCCGCUUCUCGCCCGCACAGCAGGCACCGGGAUGCUUCUUCAUCGUAGGCGGGAGCGCCGCUGUACUCUGGGGCCGUGGGAAUGGGCGGGGCGUGGGGGGAGGAGAGAUGCUUAACAUUUUCUCCUUCCAAGACCUGCCGUCCUGAACUUCACCAUUUAUAUUUAAGAAGCUGGAGCUUUCAUUUGAAAGUGUCCUGUCCUUAUUUCUGCAACUUUUUUUGGUUGGAAGUUUUAUUUACGGUUUAAAAUUCAUUUUCUUGAGAAGGUAAUCAUUUAUAUGAUUAAUAGUAGAAUUGAUUGUAAUAGCAAAUGCCUGGAAAUGAUCUACACAUCAGCAGGAGUCUGAUUAAAACA